rnacentral:rRNA from 1 species
AGCAACCUGCCCCUGACUCCGGGAUAAGCGGGGAAACGCCGUCUAAUACCGGAUACGACCCGCCACCUCAUGGUGGAGGGUGGAAAGUUUUAUCGGUCAGGGAUGGGCUCGCGGCCUAUCAGCUUGUUGGUGGGGUAAAGGCCUACCAAGGCGAUUACGGGUAGCCGGCCUGAGAGGGCGACCGGCCACACUGGGACUGAGACACGGCCCAGACUCCUGCGGGAGGCAGCAGUGGGGAAUAUUGCACAAUGGGCGAAAGCCUGAUGCAGCGACGCCGCGUGGGGGAUGAAGGCCUUCGGGUUGUAAACCUCUUUUACCACCAACGCAGGCUCCACGUUCUCGUGGGGUUGACGGUAGGUGGGGAAUAAGGACCGGCUAACUACGUGCCAGCAGCCGCGGUAAUACGUAGGGUCCGAGCGUUGUCCGGAAUUAUUGGGCGUAAAGAGCUCGUAGGCGGCAUGUCGCGUCUGCUGUGAAAGACCGGGGCUUAACUCCGGUUCUGCAGUGGAUACGGUCAUGCUAGAGGUAGGUAGGGGAAACUGGAAUUCCUGGUGUAGCGGUGAAAUGCGCAUAUAUCAUGAGGAACACCGG